CCAUCUACGAGACCUCUUCCUGAAUUUUGUUUUGCAAAACUCAAAAAUUUAAGCUUGUUCAACUGGACAAUGGAAGAUGGAGGUUGUAAAAUUAGAGUACCUCUAGCAUCAAGAUUCUCCAAGUUUUCCAAAUCCCCUAUCUCUUCUGGAAAGUUUUUAAGCUUAGAGCAAUCCGACACAUUUAGGCUGACCAAACUUUUCAACUUACAAAGGCUGCUCGGAAGUGUUGCAAGGUUUUCAAAACCUCUAAAACCUAGAGCCCUUAUUACACUGUCGAGCAUGUGAAUCUCUAACUCCACUUUCAUGUUUCCGAGGAUUUCUGGAAUUUUUUCUAAACUAGAGCAAUCCCGUAGACACAGAUACUCAAGAGAAUCAAUGCACAGAGCUGGAAACCUCUUAAGCCGUUUACAAUUAGUCAAUUUUAAUGUACAGAGCUUUUUGAGAAAUCCCAGGGAAUGAUGAACCUCUUCAAGAUUUAUACAAUUUGACAGAUUCAAAGUCUCCAAGUUUUGCAUUCCCAUGAAGCUUGGCAACUCUUUAAGCCUCUUGCAAUAUGAUAGGUCCAAGGAUCGAAGAGCACCAAGUUGGGCUAUGCUUUGAGGCAAAUGCUCAAAAUUAUUACCACAUAGACAUAACUCGUUCAAAGAGGAUAAGAAUCCAAUGUCUUCCGGAAGCCCUCCAUCUAUUAGAUUGCAG